rnacentral:misc_RNA from 1 species
GCCAAAUAGAAAAGAGCGGAGAGAAGAAAGAAAGCAAUGGCAGCGUCAGUCAUGGCUUCAGUGAGCUUGAAACCAUCUUCUUUCACUGUUGAAAAAUCUGGAGCGAGACUUCCAACUCUCUCACGAAAAACUUUCAAAGUUGAGGCCAGUGGCGGCCAGAUCAUGACUGAUAAGUCUUAUGGCUACUCAUCUCUCUUCUCUUCGCUUCUCCUCUUUUCUCCACACACACACACACACAUAUAUAAUCAUCUCUUAUUCUAAAUGGACUAAAAUUCUACUUCUACGUAAAUUAGGAAUCCUUUACGAGGAUAUCCUAUAGGAGUUAGUCUCCCAAUUGAAAAAGACUUCUAUAACAGAAAUUAUUAUUCUUAAGUUAAAAUAUUG